rnacentral:rRNA from 1 species
AACGAACGCUGGCGGCAUGCCUAACACAUGCCAGUCGAACGAAGUCUUCGGACUUAGUGGCGCACGGGUGCGUAACGCGUGGGAAUCUGCCCUUGGGUACGGAAUAACUCAGAGAAAUUUGUGCUAAUACCGUAUAAUGUCUUCGGACCAAAGAUUUAUCGCCCAAGGAUGAGCCCGCGUAAGAUUAGCUAGUUGGUGGGGUAAAAGCCUACCAAGGCGACGAUCUUUAGCUGGUCUGAGAGGAUGAUCAGCCACACUGGGACUGAGACACGGCCCAGACUCCUACGGGAGGCAGCAGUGGGGAAUAUUGGACAAUGGGCGAAAGCCUGAUCCAGCAAUGCCGCGUGAGUGAUGAAGGCCCUAGGGUUGUAAAGCUCUUUUACCAGGGAUGAUAAUGACAGUACCUGGAGAAUAAGCUCCGGCUAACUCCGUG